UACGUAGGGUGCAAGCGUUGUCCGGAAUUAUUGGGCGUAAAGAGCUCGUAGGCGGUCUGUCGCGUCGGCUGUGAAAACCCGGAGCUCAACUCCGGGCCUGCAGUCGAUACGGGCAAACUGGAGUGUUGCAGAGGAGACUGGAAUUCCCGGUGUAGCGGUGAAAUGCGCAGAUAUCGGGAGGAACACCAGUAGCGAAGGCGGCUCGCUGGGCCAUUCCUGACGCUGAGACGCGAAAGCUAGGGGAGCGAACAGG
rnacentral:rRNA from 1 species